GCGGCGGACGGGUGAGUAACACGUGGGCAACCUGCCCUGCAGACUGGGAUAACUUCGGGAAACCGGAGCUAAUACCGGAUAACACCAAGGACCGCAUGGCCCUUGGUUGAAAGGCGGCUUCGGCUGUCACUGCAGGAUGGGCCCGCGGCGCAUUAGCUAGUUGGUGAGGUAACGGCUCACCAAGGCGACGAUGCGUAGCCGACCUGAGAGGGUGAUCGGCCACACUGGGACUGAGACACGGCCCAGACUCCUACGGGAGGCAGCAGUAGGGAAUCUUCCGCAAUGGACGAAAGUCUGACGGAGCAACGCCGCGUGAGCGAAGAAGGUCUUCGGAUUGUAAAGCUCUGUUGUUAGGGAAGAACAAGUACCGUUCGAAUAGGGCGGUACCUUGACGGUACCUAACGAGAAAGUCACGGCUAACUACGUGCCAGCAGCCGCGGUAAUACGUAGGUGGCAAGCGUUGUCCGGAAUUAUUGGGCGUAAAGCGCGCGCAGGCGGUUCCUUAAGUCUGAUGUGAAAGCCCACGGCUCAACCGUGGAGGGUCAUUGGAAACUGGGGGACUUGAGUGCAGAAGAGGAGAGCGGAAUUCCACGUGUAGCGGUGAAAUGCGUAGAGAUGUGGAGGAACACCAGUGGCGAAGGCGGCUCU
rnacentral:rRNA from 1 species